CUUUCGGGUGGGAGCGACCGGCGCACGGGUGAGUAACGCGUAUGCAACCUUCCUUUAACUGGGGAAUAGCCCGGAGAAAUUCGGAUUAAUACCCCAUAAUAUUCCGAAAAUGCAUAUUUUCGGAAUUAAAGCUCCGGCGGUUAAAGAUGGGCAUGCGUACCAUUAGUUUGUUGGUGAGGUAACGGCUCACCAAGACAACGAUGGUUAGGGGGUCUGAGAGGAUGAUCCCCCACACUGGUACUGAGACACGGACCAG
rnacentral:rRNA from 1 species